CUGAGAUCAUGACCUGAGCAGAAAGCAGACUCUUAACCGACGGAGCCACCCAGACGCCCCUCCUAUCUUGCAUUGUUGUCCGGAAAGGCAUCUCAUCCAGUCUUCACAAUAACCUGGUCACAGAAUGAUCAUUACCGAUGAGGAGGAGCAUAAGCAGAGGCUCAGAGGUGUGAAAAGGUGUGGGGCAGAUACUUGGAGACAGCCUUCUUCUCCCAGCACGGCUUUGGGGUAUCUGCUAAAAUCUUUGCUGCCAGGACCUUUCAAAGCUUCAGCCAUGAGUGCCCUGCAAAUUUCAGGCCCAAGUGUAUCACUCGUUCCGUUGGUCAGCAAGUUCCCUUGAGAGCACUUCUACAAAGCUUCUUUCCAACCUCUGAAGUGACAGGCAAAUCCAGCUUUGGGCAAAGGUCCAAGAAGUCACACUCCAGGAGGCAGGAGCUAAGGCUCUUAAGACAGCACAGAAAGUGAAGUAGGAGAAACACAGCAAAACUGGAGGUCCUCUGGGCAUCCCUGGCACCUGAGGAGCUAGGCUUUCUGAAGCAGUGACUGAUAGACAGGAGUGUGGCUUAAGGGGAAAAACCAGCCACUCUGGCACCAAGUCUUCACUACAACUCAGAUAACACAGUCCAGCCAUCAGUACAACCUGGGCUAUGGACCAUGGGAUGGCCCCGAACCAUUCCAACUUCUUUCUACAGAACUCCCCUUCGUAUAUCUCAAACAGGUGAUGUCCUAGUCACCAAAGUCACCAGGAAUUCACAUUGAUUGAAUAGUUGAACCAUCU